ACCAAUUUCGGUUAACCGACCGGUUUCGAACCGAAUUAACCGUUAAUCGAAAUAUCAUAAAAAAUUAACUGACCCCCGACCGAAAAAUUUCGGUUAACCGACCGAUUAACCGAAUUCUGUCGGUUAACCGAAUUUUUUCGGUUUUACCCGAAUUAUGCACACCCCUACCUGUACUAGUGUACUUUUACAAAAUUUCAUUAACUCUGUUAAAAAAAUUAAGUAUAAUCACAAAUUUAGCCCUUCAAGUUUUACAACUUUUGUUAAUUUAACCCUACUCUUUUUAUUUUUACUUUCAUUAUUAAAAAUUAUAGGAAAAUAAAAAAAACUAAAAUUUAAUAUUAAUCACCAUUAGAUUAGAAUCCACUAACUAUUUAAUUAAUUAUGAGUUUAUUCUUACAGGAUUAAAACAUUAGUUUUCUCGAUAAUGAACUUUAGAAAAACCCCUCUCUUCCAAGUUGGAAGUUCCAACUCUUCCUACUUCUUUCAUAUUCCCUCAACUCUUAUGGAAAGAAGAAAGGAAAGAAAGUCUUCAUGUCCUUUUUUUUUGCAUGGUUUCUUUUGAUUUUCCAGAUACUCACAAGAAACAACGUUUUAGCUUACGGGAAAAUCCAAACUGCAUAAAUCCAAUCCAAAUCCAAAAUGAAGAAAAGAAAUUAAUGAAUUUCAAACUGCAUAAAUCCAAUCCAAAUUCAUAAAUAGAAGCAUCUCUAUUUCUCAAUCCCAUUAUUUUCCUACUAGUAGAUAAACAUUUUUAGCUUAUGGAAAAAUCUACUAAUCUGCUAAUUUGAAAAAUGUUGUACAAAGUAAACUAAAAGAAAAUCAAAUUAAAUUAAAUUCUAAAAAGAAAAUGUAAAUGAAAGCUUACGGGAAAGGAAGCUAAGGUAAGCCAAAUCGAUUUCAAUGUCAAUUGUUUCUGCAAUAAAACAAAGCAAAAACAAAAAAGAUGAGAUUAAAUGAAGAAACUAAGCUUGUGAUCUCAGUAAACAUUAUAACAAAUUCAUUCAACUCAAAUCCCAUGCAAUUUCAAAAUUCUGAGAACUUCAUUCCAGAUAUAGCAUGAAUUAAGCAAUUGUAAGUAACAAUAUUUGGUCUAAUGCCCUUAACCGUCACAUGAGAGAAUAGAUCAAGAGCCUCAUUUAGUGAUCCCUUCUUACAAACUACAAAGACAGUCAAUGAUAGUGUUAUAUGCGACAAUAUUGGGUUCAAAACUUAAUUCAAUGACAAUGAAAUAUACUAUUUAUAUUGGUAAUUUAAUGGUAUAGUUGUUAAGUAAAUAAAAAUAUUGCAAAGAAUACUAUACUAGUAGAAGGCGUAGGUUAUGACUUGAUCCAAUAGAGUCAGAACACCUUUCUAUCUAAAAGGAAACGAUCCAGAUUCCACAAUAUGCUGUGGGCUGGAGAGGGAGCUACUCUGCGAAACUGGGCGUUCAGUGUUCUUAUGGGGGAACCAUACUAGAAAGAGAAUGUAACUGCCCAAUUUUGGCCCUAAUCGGUAUAGUGGUUUCAGGACCACAAAUCUGAAUCUAAAAAAUAUUUUUAAUAUUAUUUUUUGCGUUAAUUAUGUGUGAAUUUACAUGUGUGAAAGUUUCGUGAAUUAAUUUUAUUGUUUGUGUGUUUAAUUUAAUAAAAGGACUUAAUUGCGUAAUAUGUGAAAUUAACUAAUUAAUAUGUAAAGUUCUAACUUGCUAAUGUCUUUAUAAUGUGAAGUCCUUAAUAGGAAAUUUGGCCAUUUAUUUAGAUAGUGGACGGCAUUAUGUUAUAAUAUAUAUAGUUUUUAUAUUAUUUAUAAAGCUUAUAAUAUAAUAAUAAUAAUAAUAAUAAUAAUAAUAAUAAUAAUAAUAAUAAUAAUAAGAGAAGACAAACAUUAAAGUGGCCAUUUUCACUUAUUCUUGGCCGAAACUAAAAGAGAAAGAAAAUAAGAAACAAGCUAGGUAUUCGACACUUUCAAGUCUUGAUUAAGGUAUGUAUUUUGUUGGGUUUUUGAUAAUUUUUACGUUUUUGAGAUCGUUGUUUCGUGUUCUUUAAAACCCAUGUCUUAAUUUUGUGAAUUGUGGAUAAUUUUGAAAUGUGCCAUUGAUGAAUGUUUGAGUUUCAUGAUGUUAGUUGAUGAAAUGUGAAAUAUAAGUGUUAGAUUAACAUAUUUUGUCUUUGAAUUUUUGGUGAAUUUGAGUAAUUAGGGCUAAAUUGAGAAAAUAAAAUUUUGAGGGACUAAAAUGCAAAAUAAAUGAAACGCAUGGGCUUGUAUGAAUACAAGGAAAAUUCGAUCCUUAAGGAGUAUAGUUAAAUUUUGUGUUUUGAGCAAAAAGGAUUAAAUUGUAAAAAGUGUGAAAUAUUAGGGGCAAAAUUGUAAUUUUCCUAUUUAUGUGUAUUUAGGCCAAAUUGAAUAGAAUGGUGUUUAAAUAAGCUUAAUUUGAAUAUGUUUAGAUCAAGAAUUAAAGAAAUCGGAUUUGGAUCAUGAAAAGACAAAAGUGGUCGAGUUGCCGAUUUAACCAUUCAACAACGUCCGAGGUAAGUCAAUAAGCAUUUAAAUGUUGAACUACCUAUGAUAUAUAUAUACAUUGAAAUGAAUUAUUUGAAGUUAUAUAAGCUAGGGCCGAAUGUUAUAUUGUGAAUUGAUUAUAUUCCGAGAAUUAUUUAAAUUAGAUGUGAAUUAUGUGAAAGACCGAUUUUGUAAGUUCAGGCUUUAUGCCUAGCAGGCUUUGUGCCGGUGAAUUAUAUCAGACUUUAUGUCUAGCAGGCUUUGUGCCGGUGAAAUGUAUCGGGCUUUGUGCCUAGCAGGCUUUAGCCGGUGUUUUAUACAAGGCUUUAUGUUCUAUAAAUCUUAUGUGAGCAAUAGUAAGAGUAAAUAAAAGUGUUAAGGAAAGCUAAAUUAUUCAGGUAUGUGUUAGCCAUUUGCUAAAUUGGUGAUAAGGUAGUGAUUAUUUUAAAUUGAUAAUAGUUCAAAUGAAAUAUAGAGUAUGAGUUAACCAUUUAAGUAUAAGUAUGUUUUGGCAUAAUGAUUUAUUAAAUAUUCGGCUUUGUUAAAUAUUUAUGUGUAUUUGGACAUAUGGUUUGUUUAUAUAAAAAUACAAUGUGAUCUUUAUUCAAGUCUUAUAUGGUACAGAAUAUUAGGAUAUUUGGUUUAUUUAACUUAAUGAUGGAAUAAGUAUUAAUAUAUAUAUAUAUAUGAAUUUUUGCUUAUGACUUACUAAGCCUUAAUAGCUUAAUGUGUGCUUGUAUUUGUUUACCUAUGUUUUAUAGAUUUUUGGAGUCGCAUUACGAGCUCGGGGAUCGUCAGCAUAGUCUAUCACACUAUCGACCGUCUUUGGUAUUUUGUAAAUUUGAAUUUGAACCUAUGCAUGUAUAGUCUAGUUAAUAUGUUUAAUUUUGGGAUAUGUGAAUAUGAGCCAUGCGAAAAUGGCUUAUUCAUUUUGGUUAAGCUUGGUUUUAUGUUUUUAAUCUAUUUGAUAUAUAUAUAUAUGAUGUUUAAAUUUAUGCAAAUUUCGGUUAUCUAUAUAGAAGUGUGAUGUGUUUAGCAUAUUGUUAAUAGUUGUAUAAAUUAGAUAUAUUUAAGCCUAUUUCGAAAGCAAUAUGUGUAUUAUAUGUAUAUGAUGUAUUGUAUAUAUGCUGUUAAAUUUUGGUGUAAAAGUGCUGUUAAAUUUGGUAUGUAUAUGCUGCCUAUUUGCUGUAUAUAAGCUGUCCAAAUUUCGGUGUAUAAAUGCUGUCCAAAUUGAUGUAUAAGAGCUGUCCAAACAAGGUAGAUUACCUAUAUUGUAAUAUGUAGUAUAGUUAGUAAAUUGAAAUGAAAUAAAUGUGUACGAAUAAAUGUUUAGAUACAUGCUUGAUUUAUGAUAUAUAAUCAUAUAGGUUUGGAAAUGUUUUAAGAAUUUGAAUUAUAUCAAAUUUUGAUUAGGUAAAUGAUAAUGAUAUGGUUGAAUUUUGAAACAUGGUUGGUAUAUGUAAUUUGAUUAAUGAUGCAUGUUUGGUUUUAAUUGAUUAUGUGCUUAAAUAUAAAUAUAUAUUUAUGGGAGGAAAUUUUGUGGUUGAGUUAGUAUAAAAAAAUAAAAAAAUUCGAGUUGGAUUUUGAUCGGUAAUGCCUCGUAACUCUAAUCCAGCGACGGACACGGGUCGGGGUGUUACAGAGAAUAGAAAGAGCCUUCAAAAAAGAGCGAGUGAGUGAUGGGCAACCUUAGUCUAUAUGUUGCUUGUGAGCCGCCAAGUACCAGUCUCGCAACAGUACUAGCGUUAAAGGAUUGGUCUUUCACUUGCUGAUCGUUCGCGAGUCAAACUCGCUCUCUUGCCAUGCCUUUCACUCAUUCACUUUAGUCAGACUCAAUCACUCUUUCCCUAAACACCCACUGCCUUAACCUUUGGAGGUGGGAUUCAGACCUGCAUACUUCAACCAUUGGUGCCUAAUUGCCUAAGAAGUUCAUUGUUCAACCAUUGGUGUGACUACCAAGGUAGUAGUCAAAUAGCAGAAAUUAAAUCCCCCCCCCCAAAGAUUCAGUGUCUCAAAAUCAAAAUCAAAAAACCGUUAACAGCAAAAAUCAAAAUCACAAUCAAAAUCAAAAAGCAAAAAACUACUUCGAAUUGGGUUAACAGGAAAUAGGGUUAACAGCAAACUCACCUUUGAAAUUCAAAGGUAGAAGACAUAGAAGGCUAGAAGCACCGUUAGAGCGGAGGUGGAGUCGUGGCGGACCGGAGGUGGAAUGGUGGAUCAGUGGAGGUGGAUUUUCGAUUUGGGGGAAAAAAAGGGAGGAUGGAAGGGGUUAGGGAUUUGUCAGAUGCACGGGGUUGGGGAAAUGGGAAAUGGGAAAUGGGGAGGGGAAA
rnacentral:lncRNA from 1 species